AUUUAAGUAGCUUAUUUUUAGAGCAUAAUAUUGAAAAUAUUAAGGUAAUAUAUUUUAUUUUUAGAUA
rnacentral:tRNA from 1 species